GACGAACGCUGGCGGCGUGCUUAACACAUGCAAGUCGAACGGAAAGGCCCUGCUUUUGUGGGGUGCUCGAGUGGCGAACGGGUGAGUAACACGUGAGUAACCUGCCCUUGACUUUCGGAUAACUUCAGGAAACUGGGGCUAAUACCGGAUAGGAGCUCCUGCUGCAUUGUGGGGGUUGGAAAGUUUCGGCGGUUGGGGAUGGACUCGCGGCUUAUCAGCUUGCUGGUGGGGUAGUGGCUUACCAAGGCUUUGACGGGUAGCCGGCCUGAGAGGGUGACCGGCCACAUUGGGCCUACGGUAGGGACCAGAGUCCUACGGGAGGCAGCAGUGGGGAAUAUUGCACAAUGGGCGGAAGCCUGAUGCAGAAACGCCGCGUGCGGGAUGACGGCCUUCGGGUUGUAAACCGCUUUCGCCUGUGACGAAGCGUGAGUGACGGUAAUGGGUAAAGAAGCACCGGCUAACUACGUG
rnacentral:rRNA from 1 species